rnacentral:lncRNA from 1 species
UUUUAACAAAACUUUGAAAUUGAAAAAUAUGGACUUUCAUUUUCAGCCGGAAUGGACAGGACAACCGGUUUUAUUCAGGGUUCGGUUUUAAUCAGGUUUGACUGUAUAUCAUAACAAUAUGCUUCUAAUCAAAUAAUUGUUUCAUUAUAUAUGUAUACCCCGGGCUUAUGACAAUUUAAACUUGCAUUAUUUUUCUUCCCAAGUGUAUGAAUAAAUGGUUCAUGUAAAUUACUGUAAAUUAAAAAAAUUAUUGUGAUGUUUUUAUAAUUGCAAAAAAAUGUGACUGGGUUAUAAUAGCAAAAAUUAAAAUCACUAUUUUGGUUAAAAUUACAAAUUGCAAUAAUAAAUGCACGUUAUAAUUUCUGAAUUAACAGUAGUUGGUUUACAGUUGUCACACACAAAAUAGACUAGAAUAUAAGAUCAACAGGUAUUAAAUAAUCAGUUAAGAUGCUGAAAAUUAUCUUAUGUUAGACAUAAUGUUAAACUAUAAGAUGGCAGCUUUUAAUGUUGUUCUUUCAUUUUGAAAAAUGUUUCUUUAUCUGAAUUUAUCUUUAUUUGAGCAACUUCCAUAUUAAUCAAAGAUAAUCUAUUUUUAUAUAUACUUUUAACAUUACCUCAUUUAUUAUGUAGACGAAACACACAUCUGGUGUAUUUAUUAUAAGCCCUGAUAGCUAUUAUU